GCCUGCCUUGACUUCCAGUAUUACGUUGAAUAGGAGUGGUGAAAGUGGCCAUCUUUGUCUUGUUCCCGGUCUUGGGGG
rnacentral:lncRNA from 1 species